UUGAACGCUGGCGGCAGGCCUAACACAUGCAAGUCGAGCGGAUGAAGGGAGCUUGCUCCUGGAUUCAGCGGCGGACGGGUGAGUAAUGCCUAGGAAUCUGCCUGGUAGUGGGGGAUAACGUCCGGAAACGGGCGCUAAUACCGCAUACGUCCUGAGGGAGAGAGUGGGGGAUCUUCGGACCUCACGCUAUCAGAUGAGCCUAGGUCGGAUUAGCUAGUUGGUGGGGUAAAGGCCUACCAAGGCGACGAUCCGUAACUGGUCUGAGAGGAUGAUCAGUCACACUGGAACUGAGACACGGUCCAGACUCCUACGGGAGGCAGCAGUGGGGAAUAUUGGACAAUGGGCGAAAGCCUGAUCCAGCCAUGCCGCGUGUGUGAAGAAGGUCUUCGGAUUGUAAAGCACUUUAAGUUGGGAGGAAGGGCAGUAAGUUAAUACCUUGCUGUUUUGACGUUACCAACAGAAUAAGCACCGGCUAACUUCGUG
rnacentral:rRNA from 1 species